ensembl:snRNA U6 U6 spliceosomal RNA
GUUCUUUGGCAGCACAAAUAUUGAGAUUGGAACGAUGCUGAGAAGAUUAUCAUGGCCUCUGAGCAAGGAUAACACAAAUUCCAGCUCUGAACCAUUAACAGUUUAA